UUGCUGCAAUGCUAGACUUUGCCUUGUUUCUGACUCCAGUCUGACUUUGAGCCUGACUCCUGACUCCCUAUUCUAGCCUGGAACUGCCUCUGGUCUCUGACCUUGGCCUGAUUCUGACCCAGACUCUUGUUUACAGGACCUGGCCUUGUGACCCCCAUCUCUGUUGCUCAUCAUCCUUUUUGAAGUGUGUACACCACAACAAGAUACUCUAUCCAGUAAUGGCCUCCCCGAAUGCCCUAUACAAAGAAACACAUACUUUUUUACCUAAGAAGACAAAGGAACCAGCCCUUUGGACUUUGCGGGGAGAUCUUGACUUGAGAAUUGUGUCAGCUAUGUUGCUAGGAACAUGUGGUAAAUAUUUUACCUUGAACGAACUCCAGUUUGUUAAGUCUUAGCUAUUAGGAA